GCCUGGAAUGAUUGACAGGUCCUAUGGAGGAGACAGCUGAGACUCUGCUCUCCUCGUUUGGAUUAAUUCUGAUAUAAUAACUGUUGGUUUAUUUAUCGGUGGAGCAGCAGAACAUUUUCCACAGACAGUUUUCCUGCCCGUUGGCUUGUUUUAACCAGUUUUCUACCUUCGGCUGAUUCUACCAGCAGACACUGAAAGGACUCUGAUAGUUCGAGUGAAAGUAGCAGUUCCUCCUGAAGGUCAGAGAUCGCAGCAUCUGAGGGCCUCUUCAAAAGAAGACGUAGUUGAUGAAGGCGUUCUGGAGCAGGACCAGAAAGACCACGACCAAGCAGCCUUGAGAUCUUAGGCAGCGUCUCCCUCAGGUCCCUCUCUAUCUCCCCACACAUCCACCAACCACUGGAACACAUCUCCACAGUUCUGCCGGGCCAGCUCAGCUUCCCCUCAGAAGAAGUGCUGCCACCUGCCAGAUGAAGGAGCCUUUUGAGAGGCAGCUGGCAUCGUGAUUGGACUGUACUUUGGUCUGUUCCAAUCCAGCUUCAGCUCCAGAGACGGCAGGCGGGACGAGUCAACGGAGGCCGGGUGGACGAAGGCAUGCAGCUGAGUACAAUCCAGAAAACAACAGAGGAGGAGUGAAGCGGUCCAGGGCCAGAACAAACAGAACCAAAGAACUACAGACUCUUCACAACCUGCUCAAACUCUUGGUACAGGACCUCACCACACGGGUCAAGAAGGUUUCAGUCUCAUUUCUACUCUGAAGCUCACCUUCUCCUGCUCAAACUGCUGACAAAUGUUUCUGCUGCUCUAAAGUCUGGUCUCCAGAACUUCCUAAAAACUCUCAAAGUCUCUUCUGCUGCAGGUUGCUUUGUAGAACUGUUCCAGAAAACCUCACUAAACCACAAGGAGGGGCCUCAAGAUAGUCGUCCAAAUGAAACCGUACAAAAACCAAACUAGCACAACCCAAACGCUAAAGUCUCCUGCAGCCUACCAGAGAACCUCUGAGAACAGAGAAUCAGGACAGGAACUCUUACCUUCUGGACAACCAACAUCGGUUCACAAACAAGAAUACAGAAUGUGUCUGACCAAAAACCUCUGAAGACUCACUACAGCCAAGAUAAAGACACAACUCAGCUGCAACAAAUCCACUAAUCACUGCACACAUUAGCACCAUGUGCUAACUGUGGCUAAAGAACCACAUUUACCAAGACAACUAUCCAGUACAAAGCCCUCAAACACACCAAGAAACACAUUAAAGACGAUUUUACUGCUGGAAGCUGCAAGCCAACGCCUAAAGAACAAACUAAAGCAACGAAGCCAAACCCGCUGCAGUGGUGAACAGAAGCAGAAGAAAUGUUUGUCUGCAGCUAAAUAAAGCAGGAAGACACUGAGCUGCUCAGGUGUUCCUGAUAACACCAAGCAGCCACCUGGACAGCCAAUAGGAACACAGCUUACUGGAAGUCCAGAGGGCUGGGUUAGUGAAGUAAAUUUAGUUUAAAGUUGAAGCAGAAAGUUAACAAAGAAAGUUGAAAACCACCUUGUGAUACCUGAAAUCUCUGAGUUUUCACACAAACAACGCCUGAACAUGUCAAACUGGUUUCAUAGUAGAACCAUCAUUGUAAAAACGUCAUAGUAUGGUGUGUUGCUCAAAAAACAUUACGACCUGGCUGUCUAGGGUCGCCGAGGAGCAACACAAAAACAGGAUAAACGCUGGUUUCCAGGGGGUUAGGCGGCUAUUUAUUUGAAAGAGGAAGUUUACAACAACACAACAUGUGAGCAGAAAAAUCACAAAGUCUGUCUUUAGUUCAGCUGAAAAUACUAGUUUUUGUCUUUUUUAUUGACCAAACUUUUCAGGAAGUAGAUGCAGAAUAAUUAAAGCUCUCAUGUAGAAGUCCAACUUAUUUUGGAUCCUUGUGGAGAAGCUGUUGAGUUUUUAGAGUCACAUGGAUUGUUUUGACAUUUAAUAACCAAGUCCUGAAAUAAAAUUACAGUUGUGGAUUUCUGUCAUUUAGUCUGGACUAAACAAAUAACAGCAGCAUAAAUCUCAAACGUCCUUAUGAGGAGUCUGGAUUGAGGUUUCUCACUUGAUAAUGAUCAAAACAUGAAAUUUAGGUUGGUUUAAAGGAAUAUUCCACCUUAAAUCUUUGAAUGUUGCCCUAAAAGGUUGGUUUCAGGAAGUAUUCCACCUACAAGGUCCUCAAACAUCCACCUUAAAGGAACAUUCCACCAAAAAUCCUUGGCCAUGCACCUAAAAUGUUGGUUUAACCGAGUAUUCCAUCCAAAAUCCUCAAAGAGACCUGAGGGGCUGGUUAAAAGGAAUAUUCCACCUAAAACCUCAAAUAUAGACCCGAAAGGGUGGUUUAGAAAAAAUCCUUCAGUGUAGACCAAAAAAGUUAGUAUGGAGUUGGUUCAGAAGAAUAUACCAUCCUAAACAUCCUUAAAUGUAGACUAAAAGACGGUUUGGAAGAAAAUUCCACCUAAAAUCCUCCAAUGUAGACCUAAAAGGUGAGUUUAAUGGUAUAUUCCACCUAAAAUUCACUACUGUAGACCUUAGAGGUUGGUCUUAUGGUAUAUUCCAGUGUUUCCCAACCUGUUUGGCUUGGAGCCCCCCCAUAAGCUGCAACCCAGCCCCAGCGCCUCGCCAGCGCCUCGCCAGCGCCUCGCCAGCGCGGCGCCAAACCCCCCCCCCCCCUCCACAAAAAAAACACCCCAUAAGUACACUGCAAAACAUAAGAGGGAAGUUAUUGAAUUGUAUUAGUAAUAGAAAAUUCCCUAAAAUUAUAUAAAAAAAAUAUUUUAUAUCAAACCAAGAGUUGUACUCUGACGAGGAGGAGAGAGUUUAUGGCUGCAGUAAAUCUGGGGACACUACAAUGCAUAAGAAUUAAGUUUUUUUUUUUACUAAAAAAAAAUCCUAAAACUGUGAAAAAAACAAUUAAUAUCAAACCAAGAGUUGUAGUAUGACCAGCAGGAGUCAGUUGCUGGCUGUAGUAAAUUAGUUGAAUAUUUGUGUCUCUUCGCUGUUUGCAGCGGUUUUGCAUUUUGCAGACGGUCCCUGUUGACUCGUCUCACAGCCAGCUGCUCAUAGACACCAAUGUUAUUUCUGCAGCUUGAAAGACAGCUACUUUUGAUUAAACUGGGCUUGUAGCACAUUGUCUACCUUACAACGAUGGAAAAGAGGCAUCGUUUAUGUUUAGACAACGUAUAUUUAAUGAGUUAUUGAUGCCGGAAGUCCGAAUUUGUGAAUAUCUUUCCAACUUUACCAAACUGUUUUGUUUCCUGACGUCGCCGUAAUUCGCUGGUUUCAUGCUGUCAUUUGCGAGCAUUUCACCACAAAUAACAGAAUUCUGCCUCGUCCUUUAAUAAAACCAAAUUUAAGGUAACUCUGGAGGUAUAGCCGGAGUUUUUAGGUACUGAUGAAUCUUCGCCCGUUUUGUGUUUGUCAGACACCGUUUCCAUCAGUAAUUUUCUAACUGCACACAAACCAAUGAAUCGGGAUGAACUAGCGAGCCAACCUGAAGAAAGACCAAAUAAAUAUGUUUUUAAAAUGUUUUAUAGGUAGACUUGUGAUGACAUAGUGAGUCUGUUACUCUGAUUUUAUCCAGAACGUAAAAAUCUAUUUUUUAUAACAUCACAGUCUCAGAGCAAAGCUUCGCGCCCACCCCUGGUUGGGAACCACUGGUAUAUUCCACCCAACAUCUUUGAACAUAAACAUAAAAGGUUCGUUCAAAGGAAUAUUUCACCUAAAAUCUUUCAAUGUAGACCAAAAAAUCUUGGUGUAAAGGAGUAUUCCACCUUAAAUGUAGACCUAAAGGAUGGUUUGGAGUAAUAUUCUUCUCUAAAAUCUUCCAAUGUAGACCUAAAAGGUUGAUCUGAUGGUAUAUUCUACUCAACAUCCUGCAACAUUUACCUAAAAGGUUGGUUUAAUGGUAUAUUCCCAGAAGAACCCUUGAACAUCAGGCUUAAUGGUAUAUUCCACCCAAAAUACUUGUACAUAUACCAAGAAGUCAGUGUAAAGGAAAUGUAAACCUGAAAGGAUUGUUUAAAGGAAUAUUUAAAUGAUUAUUUAAUAAUCUGUUAUCAGUCAGAACCCUGACAAACUUAUUUUCAUCAUUUUUUCAGUGGAAGUCACAAAUAAAGGAGCUCUUGGUUUUUCCUGGCGUUACUGAGUCAAAAGCUGCUGUUUCAACACAGACACGUUCACAUCCAUCCACAAACCUCUCAGCACUCAAACACCCACAGACAGGAGGCCGGCUGGACCGAGGCUCGGUGGCAUCCUCAGACCCACGAGUCGGGGAGUCGCUGAACUUGUUGGUCCGGUUUGAAGGCCUCCGUGUGGUCCAGUAGAAGUCCACGUAGUCGGUGUUGGCUUUGAACCGCAGCGACUGGCCACCAUCAGGUGGACCGGCUCGUCCUCGUAGGACUCCUCCUGUAGCCUUGAGGGGACCACAGGAACAUUCAGUAGCUGUUGGAGUUCUUCCUGUCAGGCUCGUGGUAGAACGGCUCUGAAGAAUCUUGUACUUGUCUUAUCUGGAACAAUCUAACAGUCUAAACUGUUAACAGCAGUGUACAGAAGCAAACACUCAGGCAUAGAUUAGGACUCAAACUAGAUUUAUUUUAGAAAACAAAUCAGCUUAGAGGCAUUUGUUCACACAUGUGGCUGAAUAGGAGGCUGUCCAAUCAGGUUCGAGGUCUUCACUCUGUAGGUUGUUUGUUCGGUGAGACUCUUGGACCUCCAUCAGCUGACAUGGAUGUUUGAUGGUCUUCCUCUCUAGUGCCAGAUGAUUCAUCCAUGAAUUCAGCAGCUACAGACUGAAAUGAAGCUCAUGCUGCCGUUAUUGAAUUCCUGUUCCAGAUCAAAUGUUCAGAGCUCACCUUGAAUGCAGCCGUCUGCUGUCUGAUAGUUUUUCUCAUUGUAGUUUUCAAUAAAGUGUUUUUCCUCAUGUCAGGAUGUGGUGAGACUCUUUCUCAGUCGCUGCAGACGUCCCUCAUUGUGCAUC